rnacentral:rRNA from 1 species
UACGUAGGGGGCAAGCGUUGUCCGGAUUUAUUGGGCGUAAAGAGCGUGUAGGCGGCCAAACAGGUCAGCUGUGAAAACUCGAGGCUCAACCUCGAGACGUCGGUUGAAACCGUUUGGCUAGAGUCCGGAAGAGGAGAGUGGAAUUCCCGGUGUAGCGGUGAAAUGCGCAGAUAUCGGGAGGAACACCAGUGGCGAAGGCGAUCACCUGGGGUUAAUCUGACGCUGAGGAGCGAAAGCUAGGGGAGCAAACGGG